AAAGCUCUCAUCUCUCUCUACUUUCUCUCUCCCAAAAUCCUCCAUUGAAGGAAGAAGAAAGCUUGAAGAAGAAGGUCAAUUUCUCUAGGAUUUCACUUCAAAUUUCGUGGAAUAAUCUUUAUUAAAGAUUCGGCCGUUGAGCUUUUAGAGGGCCAUUGAAGAAGGGUUGAAAUUCUAUUCUCCAAGUUCGGUAGAACCUCACUUUUCGAGGAUGAUGCCACUAUCGUGCUAUUUGAUAUUGUUUAGUCUUAAAGACAAUUUAGUUCAUUUUCUUUCUUUGUUGACUUUGUAUAUGUCUAUAUGAGGCCUUUAUUGUAUUGAAGUAAGGGUUGAACCCAAGAUUUUGUAUUCGACUUAGAUGGUUUAAUAUGAGACGUAUUCUAGACUUCUUAUUAA